ACAGAGGUCCCAAGCGUUGUUCGGAUUUACUGGGCGUAAAGGGUGCGUAGGUGGCGGGGUAAGUCUGGUGUGAAAGCUCCGAGCUUAACUCGGAAAAGCAUUGGAAACUAUCCCGCUGGAGGGUCGGAGGGGAGACUGAAAUUCUCGGUGUAGCAGUGAAAUGCGUAGAUAUCGAGAGGAACACCAGUGGCGAAGGCGAGUCUCUGGACGACUCCUGACACUGAGGCACGAAAGCUGGGGGAGCGAACAGGA
rnacentral:rRNA from 1 species